CCACGCUGCUCGCGCCGGACGCACCCGCUCAUCCCGCAGCGCUGGUCAUCGUCUCCUCCCCCAUAUCCACUACCUCCCUCGCCCUAUCCUGCCCGUGGGAUCAAACAUUUUGCACCACCAAACCCUAGCCGUCCGGUCGGCGCCAUCUCCAUCUUCCAUCCGAUUCACCGGGCGGGGCGCAGCAAUAAGUCUGUCCGUACCCACAUGUACAAUUCGUUCCGCCCUAGGCAACGCAACUUGCGCGUCGCCGCAGAAAAUAAAAGGUUGCCCGACUCCGUCUCGUCGUUCUCCAGUUCCUGCAACGAAAGAACCAGGCCGCCUCCGAUCUCCAUCUCACAUGGUUUGAAACUCUCUUCAAUCUAGUCUGAUCUUAUUAACAUCUUGUGUGAUUUUUCUGUUAACCUCACAUCUAAUCUGUAAGUUUUGAUUCUUUUAGAUUUCCCCCGCAUAAUAAUUUUGUUGCUUUGCGGGUACUUUUUUUUUUUGAGCAAAACGGGUACUUUGUUGCAGAGUUAGGAUAAGAGAUUUCUAUGCCCACCUGUAAUGUUUUGCCAUAUGGUGGUUGUGGAAUUGGGAAAUAUGAUUCAUUAUUUGGACCAUUGAAUCAAUAUAUGAUUCUACAUUGAACUUUCCUGGUUGUCAUUUGAGUCGGACCUGCUGGAGGGUUUUUCCCAUUCUGUGGGUUGAAGCUGCAGGGGAUCAUAGCAAUAAAAAGUGCCUUCUGGCUCUGGCAGCUAUAUAUGGCUGAUGGGUCCAAGAAGAAGGUCGGACCCAAGGCUCUGCGGCUUCACCAUCUACAUCCUGAUAUCCUACAGGACAUACUGUCGCGGCUAGAGUUCAAAGAAGCUGCGCGAAUGAACAUACUGUCCAGCAAUUGGCGACGCCUUUGGAGGUGCUACCAGAACCUGGUCUUCACUAGGGAGACAAUGUUUAGCAGUGGCAGCAAUGCCAUCAUAAACCGGCGUAGAUUCAUCAUCAAUGUCAAUAGUGUCCUGCGGCAUUUAAGCUCUACCACUGUGAAAAAGUUCAUGGUUAGAUUCAAGCUCCGCAAGCCACAUUCCCACCAUGUUGAUAGAUGAGUUCGCUUUGCUGCUGGGUCAAAAGCAAGCGGUUCCAAUGGUGCUCCUAUUAGAUCCUUGCGCCUCAUGUUUGUCUGUUUGAAGCCACGGCCUGAUUUCUGUGGUUUCACAAAUCUCAAGAAGCUCAAGCUUGAUGCAGUGUCGAUUUCUGGACAUCUCCAGUGCUUGCUGCCAGACUGUGCCGUUCUUGAGUGGCUAAGCAUUGUACGCUGCACCCUGCAUGGCUUGCAAACAUCCCAGCC